GAUGAUGAUGAUCCUGUCAUUCAGUGUCUGUUUAGGCUGUUGUGUAAAUGAUAUAUUACUCAAAACAUAUACAAUCAUUUAAGUUUAAAGAAUAAGAAUAAUUAA